AGCAUCCCAAACCCCUGUGAACAUACCUUAAUGUUGCCUCGGCGGAUCAGCCCGCGCCCCGUAAAACGGGACGGCCCGCCAGAGGACCCAAACUCUAAUGUUUCUUAUUGUAACUUCUGAGUAAAACAAACAAAUAAAUCAAAACUUUCAACAACGGAUCUCUUGGUUCUGGCAUCGAUGAAGAACGCAGCAAAAUGCGAUAAGUAAUGUGAAUUGCAGAAUUCAGUGAAUCAUCGAAUCUUUGAACGCACAUUGCGCCCGCUGGUAUUCCGGCGGGCAUGCCUGUUCGAGCGUCAUUUCAACCCUCAAGCCCUCGGGUUUGGUGUUGGGGAUCGGCUCUGCCUUCUGGCGGUGCCGCCCCCGAAAUACAUUGGCGGUCUCGCUGCAGCCUCCAUUGCGUAGUAGCUAACACCUCGCAACUGGAACGCGGCGCGGCCAUGCCGUAAAACCCCAACUUCUGAAUGUUGACCUCGGAUCAGGAGGAA
rnacentral:rRNA from 1 species